CAAAAGGGGGAGAAACAAAGUAAAAUAGGAUAAAAAAUAUUUUAUCCUCUUUUACUUUGUUUCUCCCCCUUU